GAUUCAUAUGCAACACAAGUUCAUACCACAGACCUUGGAUAAGUUCAGCUAAAGUGACACAGCUGUUUAAUCAAAAGAACCAGCACCGUACAGGAUGUCUGAUUACUGUGAGAGCACCAGCUGUAUUGAGUCUCCAGCUAGCCACAAUGAACAGACUUUUGGAGACAGAAUGUCCAGUCAACCUCCCAGCUGCGCCAGCCUUCCCAGCUGAGGUAUCAGACAGAUCCAGACAGAACUCCUCUUAACUAACAUUGAGGGAUGGACCACUGUG